CACCAUGACUUUGUCUCCAUCAGUAUCUUUGAUCUCCACCUCAAUGUAGGCUUCUCUCUCAUCCGGAAUCCAAACACGUUUUUUCCCUGCACACAGAAGUAUUUGGCACUUCUGAAUUGAACUGUGAGGCUUGUGCAUCAUUAAAAAAACACAGGAUACAAACAGGACGUCUGACAGUACCAUCAAACGCAUGGGACUGCGCAGCGAGUUGUUCCAGGCGCAGACAUGUGAACCAUAUCCCAGCUGAGCAGCGUUCGUCUCCCCCACAAUUCUGGAUUCUACAUUAAUUUUUCCCACUGAUCUUCCUCUGACAGUGGCCUAAGACCCUGGCACACAGCAACCCCCCUGCACCUGUGUGUGUGAUGGAGAGCGAGAAUGAAGAGAAGGAGAGUUUGGGAAACCCUAGAUGUCCUAAUCUCAGGAUUACCAGCCAGCCCAUCCCCACAAAUCGGCAGUAAUAUUAGCUAAUCAGUCUUUUAGCAAGUGACUCAGUGGAUGAAGACAACCAGUGUCAUUCUCCCCCAUCCGGCUCCAACGCACGGCCCGUCUGCAUUGUGUUAGGUCUCCAUUGCACCACCAUCCUUCUCACACACACUCAAACACAUAGCCUAGAUAUGAGCACCCACAGCUGUCUGUCUAUUUUAGUCUGGAUUUUGACAGCAGUAUAUCUACCCCCCAAGAUCCCCUGUAACAAUCCCUGACGCCUUCACCAGAACAAUAGCCAGCAGCUCACAUAAACCUUUUAAACUUAGAAAGCGCUCAGGCUCAAGAAUAGCCCAGCCAUUCUGGCGCAAUCUCCUGCCACACGGUAAGCCCAGAAAGGACGGACAGAGUUAACAAGGCCACCAGUCAACACUGACUUGAACAAUCCUAGAUGCCUGAUUCAAGUCUAUGUGCAGAUGCACAAAGUUUGUUACAUUUUAUAAAAUGGAUAGAUUAGACUGAUAGGAUGAACUGCAUUUAAAGCCAUUGUAAAAUAUGCAUAUACACACACCUGUGCCACACAUCUUGAUGCACCAAGUUGCUCUGACCCAUAAACAGCCUAUAUAAGGCUAAUGAACUAUAUUAAUUGCUGGAACAAUUCUUUGUUCUUCUCAUUAUUAUUAAUAUAGUAAUGAUGAAAAGAAUGUAUUUUAAUAUAACUUUAAUGAUUGAAUAUUGGUCAAAAAACAACCAGGGUAAAAUCACAGUAAUGUUCAGUCUUUCUGGCUUAUCACUUUACAAUGUUUAACUGCUGUGAAUUUACAGUGAUUGAACUGUGAUGAAUGGUUACCAUGUGCAUACCCUCAUAACCUCACUUUAUCUCUCCAUCUGUCUCAUUGUCUCUUAACAUUCCCAGCAUAGGCUUCCGCUAUCAAAUUUAGUAUUUAAAUAGUACAUAUAACCGGCAAUUAAAAUUCUCAGCUCCACUUAAAUACACCUGCACAUCUCCACAUUCAUUUACUGUCUCCUACCAUGGGACAAUAGAAACCUUGACAGAUUGGAAUGGGAAGUAGAUACGGGUUAAUUCAGUCAGUCUCCCAUGUAUUGCUAUGUAAAAUGUCUCUUAACAAUUCAAAAGCCCAGGGAUUGAUGGAAACAUCCACACGAAUGACUCAGAAAACCCAUAUUAGCUGUAUCCAACAACUGCUGGAGAAUGUACACACAAUAACACUAUAUACCUACAGUUCUUAUCCCUUGCCUUGAAUACUGCCCUGUUACUGUAGUAUAAAUGUAGAUAUUUUAGUUGUUUAAAAAUGUUUCCAUUUAUAAACUUGAUUAUGUCAUCCUAUUUUAUUUAAGACAUGUUUGCAUGUUCCACUAUGUCCAACUGGCACAGGAGUUUAGUCAUACCCAGCCAACAUUUCCAUGUGGUUUUUUGAUGGGCUGUCACUUGAGCACUGCAUGGGCAACCCAAAUGGGACCCAGAGAAAUUUGUUCAUUGGCUAGAUAUGUAUGUUAGCCCAUAGGGGCACAUGAUGGGUCCAUUGUAAACUCUAAGUGGGGAUGUUCAUUUAGAUGUUCAUUAUAUAGGCUUACUCGAGACCCCAAAUGGGUGCUAAUAAUGGGGCCGAGAUGGGCUACACAGAAAAAGCUUAUGGGGCCCACAUGCGUGAUCACACUCAUCCACAAAUGGCCCUACUAUGUUUUGUGGGACCACGUUGGGGGAAAAUAGGGCCCCAUUUAUUAAUUUCUUGAAAGAUUCCAGUGGGUCAAAUAAUGACCUGCAAAAUUCACAUUCAAAGCACUCGACUCUGAUGAUUUACAGUGGGUACGGAAAGUAUUCAGACCCCCUUAAAUUUUUCACUCUUUGU